GUUAAUACCCGGGAUAAGUGGACGUUACUCGCAGAAUAAGCACCGGCUAACUCUGUGCCAGCAGCCGCGGUAAUACAGAGGGUGCAAGCGUUAAUCGGAUUUACUGGGCGUAAAGCGCGCGUAGGUGGCUAAUUAAGUCAAAUGUGAAAUCCCCGAGCUUAACUUGGGAAUUGCAUUCGAUACUGGUUAGCUAGAGUAUGGGAGAGGAUGGUAGAAUUCCAGGUGUAGCGGUGAAAUGCGUAGAGAUCUGGAGGAAUACCGAUGGCGAAGGCAGCCAUCUGGCCUAAUACUGACACUGAGGUGCGAAAGCAUGGGGAGCAAACAGGAUUAGAUACCCUGGUAGUCCAUGCCGUAAACGAU
rnacentral:rRNA from 1 species